GCCUUUAUGGCGACGCAUGCCUGUAGUCCCAGCUCUCGGGGGGCUGAGGCUGGAGGAUCCCUGGAGCCCAGGGGUUCUGGGCUGUAGUGCGCUAUGCCGAUCGAGUGUCUGCACUAAGUUCAGCAUCAAUAUGGGGACCUCCCGGGAGCCGGGGACCACCAGGCUGUCUAAGGAGGGGUGAACCGGCCCAGGUCGGAAACGGAGCAGGUCAAGACUCCUGUGCUGAUCAGUCGUGGGAUCGCGCCUGUGAAUAGCCACUGCACUCCAGCCUGGGCAACAUAGCGAGACCCUAUCAAU
rnacentral:SRP_RNA from 1 species